rnacentral:lncRNA from 1 species
GGGAGAAAGGGCUUUAUUUUAGCUUACAGGCAACAGUGCCUCAUUAACGGAAGCCAGGGUAGGAUUUGAAUAAGAAACCGGAUGCUUGCUGGCUCACUCACAGGGUCAUACUUAGCUGCCCUUCUGAUAGAGACCAGCACCUAGGGAAUGGUGCCACCCACAGGGGACUGGGCCUUCCAAUAUCAACUGGCAAUGCACUUCCUUACAGAUAUGUCUAUGGAACAAUCUAACCUGGGCAGUUGAUCAAUUGAGACUCUCUUCUCCUUGUGGAUCCAGCUUCAAUGGAACUGACCCCUUCUAGACAUGGCUCUUCUCUGGUCUUCUUAGCCCCUGAUGGUUGCUAGGCAACCCUAUUAAGUUCCCCAGCUGAGAUCACUCAGUAACCAAGUCACUGUAUGGAACUACCUUGGUCUGGCAUCCUCAUCCCUACUUCCUCACUUGCCCCGACUCCUACGGAUCUUGUGGGCUGAAGACGGAGAGAAGCAUUGUCCUAAACCUGCAGUCGCCUUGGAUUUUUGGAAGUACAAAACCUGAAAGGUCAGGCUACCCCCAGAUGACAGUGAUCACCCAUGAGGGCCAAGCUGCAUUCUGAAGCGGAAGUGACCCUCUCACAGGAGCCAGAUUGACUCACAGUAGCAUCUUGAGGCCAUCACACUGGUGAGGUGAUGAUCAAGGAGAUGGCAUCUGGACCAGGACUUCUUCAUGAUGCCAACAUUUUGUUCUUUGCCCCAACUCAAAUCUAAAGCUAUUAUCGGCAUCUUAAUCUUCUAAAAUCUUGGGGGUCACUGUUCCUCUCCUCUAUUUGGACACUUGAGAAUAAAUCUCUCUCUCUGGUUUUUACUGCUA